rnacentral:rRNA from 1 species
GAGCGGAAGGCCCUUCGGGGUACUCGAGCGGCGAACGGGUGAGUAACACGUGAGUAAUCUGCCCCAGGCUCUGGGAUAGCCACCGGAAACGGUGAUUAAUACCGGAUACGACAACUUCCUGCAUGGGAUGGUUGUGGAAAGUUUUUCGGCCUGGGAUGUGCUCGCGGCCUAUCAGCUUGUUGGUGAGGUAAUGGCUCACCAAGGCUUCGACGGGUAGCCGGCCUGAGAGGGUGACCGGCCACACUGGGACUGAGACACGGCCCAGACUCCUACGGGAGGCAGCAGUGGGGAAUAUUGGACAAUGGGCGGAAGCCUGAUCCAGCAACGCCGCGUGAGGGAUGACGGCCUUCGGGUUGUAAACCUCUUUCAGCACAGACGAAGCGCAAGUGACGGUAUGUGCAGAAGAAGGACCGGCCAACUACGUGCCAGCAGCCGCGGUAAUACGUAGGGUCCGAGCGUUGUCCGGAAUUAUUGGGCGUAAAGGGCUCGUAGGCGGUCUGUCGCGUCGGGAGUGAAAACCAGGUGCUUAACACCUGGCCUGCUUUCGAUACGGGCAGACUAGAGGUACUCAGGGGAGAAUGGAAUUCCUGGUGUAGCGGUGAAAUGCGCAGAUAUCAGGAGGAACACCGGUG